AGGAAUAUUUCUCACUGACCCAUGUUCAGGAUGUGCAUUAAGAUUUUGUCGCCAUGAGACACUUAGAAGCACAUUUGGAUGACUACAUGACAUCUGCCUGACUACUUGACAAUAACAGGCCUAUCACUGCAAUUAUCGGCUUCUCUCAAUCUAAUUGUCAUCAAGCCUGCAUUCAUGUUUGGGAUUGCACCUACCCAUAUGCAGCACCCUGCACUUGGCCUUGUUAAACUUCAUGAAGUUCGCACAGGCCCACCUUGAAUGUGAGCAUUCAGCCAGUUCUUUAUCCACUGAGUGGUCCAUCUGUCCCAUUCAUGCCUCUCCUCUUUGGAGACAAGAAUGCUGUGUAGGACAGUGUCAAAUGCUUUCCAGAAAUCCAGGUAGAUGUCAGUUGCUCUUCCCUUACCCACCAAUGCUGUAAUCUUAUUGUAGAAGGCCACCAAAUUUGUUAGGCAUGGUUUGCCCUUAGUGAAGCCAUUUCUUUGUGAUUCUUCAAGAAUAUCAUAUGCUAAUGGCUUAGUAACUUCUUUUGUUAACAAAAGUAAGAAAGCAAGGCAUGCGAAUGUUGGCUCCUCCAGAACACAUCACAGCUACAAAUAUGCCUUCCUGACUGCACUCGCCCAGCUUGUCAUUGUUGUCAAAAAAGACUGCAGACAGAGCAGAGGCAGCAGGAAUAAAUGUGUGCCUUGGGUUUAACGAUUGCAGCUCCUAGUCUGUAUUAGAACAAAAAUGACUAAUUGGAGGGGGAACCGCAAGCUAGGCAUGCAUUUCUGUCUGCUGCUCCUGCUGUGGUGUUACUAACCCUGCCACAGGGGGAGGAGAGGGGUGGGUAACAGGUGUUGGUAGUGUAUUAAACUGCAAUAACCAUAGCCAAAGGCAUAAUGCUGAUGUUUGACACUAUAUAUAUCACUGAAGGUGGCUUUGGGCAAAAGCAGCUUCAGGCCCUAUUCUG